rnacentral:rRNA from 1 species
UGGGGAAUAUUGCACAAUGGGCGCAAGCCUGAUGCAGCCAUGCCGCGUGUGUGAAGAAGGCCUUCGGGUUGUAAAGCACUUUCAGCGAGGAGGAAGGGUUCAGUGUUAAUAGCACUGUUCAUUGACGUUACUCGCAGAAGAAGCACCGGCUAACUCCGUGCCAGCAGCCGCGGUAAUACGGAGGGUGCAAGCGUUAAUCGGAAUUACUGGGCGUAAAGCGCACGCAGGCGGUUUGUUAAGUCAGAUGUGAAAUCCCCGCGCUUAACGUGGGAACUGCAUUUGAAACUGGCAAGCUAGAGUCUUGUAGAGGGGGGUAGAAUUCCAGGUGUAGCGGUGAAAUGCGUAGAGAUCUGGAGGAAUACCGGUGGCGAAGGCGGCCCCCCUGGACAAAGACUGACGCUCAGGUGCGAAA